rnacentral:rRNA from 1 species
ACGGAAGGCAGCAGUGGGGGAUAUUGCACAAUGGAGGAAACUCUGAUGCAGCAACGCUGCGUGAGGGAAGAAGGUUUUCGGAUUGUAAACCUCUGUUUUCGGUGAAGAAACAAAUGACGGUAGCCGAAGAGGAAGCCACGGCUAACUACGUGCCAGCAGCCGCGGUAAUACGUAGGUGGCAAGCGUUGCCCGGAUUUACUGGGUGUAAAGGGUGCGCAGGCGGGACUGCAAGUUGGAUGUGAAAUACCGGGGCUCAACCCCGGAGCUGCGUCCAAAACUGUGGUUCUUGAGUGGAGUAGAGGUAAGCGGAAUUCCGAGUGUAGCGGUGAAAUGUGUAGAUAUUCGGAGGAACACCAGUGGCGAAGGCGGCUUACUGGGCUCUAACUGACGCUGAGGCACGAAGGCAUGGGUAGCAAACAGGAUUAGAUACCCUGGUA